AUAAAAGGUUAAUUAACAAUUGCAUCACUCCCUGUGCACCAGUCACGUGAUUGCGUGUGUUCAGGGACAAAACAGUGUUGUUUACCAGUAUAAAUCUGCCAGAUUUAUACCAGAAGUGGAAAGGAACCAGAAAAUGUGCCUCAAGAAAAAAAAAAGAAAAUCCCUUAUAUACAUUGAUUUUAUACUUUUGAUAUGACACUGUACUUGUGUUUGUUCACACUUAAUGUGAAAUGAAAAAAGCUUACUAAGAAUUAAAAAAUGCCCCUUUUGUACAAGUAGUAGAAGCAAUAAAGUAUUAAUAUAUUUAUUGAUGUUCUUGUUUGGUUAUUCAUGAUCCACUAAUAAGGUCAGGAAAUUGUAAUUUAAUAAGAAUUUCAUUAAAUCUUCAUGAGGUGCAUCCUGGGAUGCUUUUUAAAAGAGUAUUGACAGUGUUCAUGUGUGCGGACUAGAUAUAGUUAUUAUAUGCAUAAUUUCAUAUAAUAAGAAGAAUAAAAAUCUCUAAAAUAUUAAAUGACUGAAUCAAAUCAUAAAAGUUUGAAUAAUCCUUACAUUGAUACCUUAAUUAUUAGCUAAUAAUGGUACAAUAUAUAGUUAGUUAAUAUAUUAAUAACCUUAUCUAUAAUAAUAAUAAUGAUAUCUUAAAUAUUAAAUGUUUGAUACAUAGACCUAAAUAAUUUAUUAACAAUAUUAUAAUUUUUUUUGUAAAGAAUUAGCACAGUUUUAAAACAUUUCAUAUUUAAAGUGUAAUUUUUAAGACCUUGCAACACAAGAAAUGAACCAGCUUUUUUGUGUGUGUAAACGACUAGCUACUCUAGAAACUGAACAAGUGUUUCUUUAUUCUUGAUAAAUGAUUUUGUUACAUAUUGCAAUGGAUUUUCGCUCAUUUCACUCCCUAAUAAUGAGCUGAAUUUUGUCAAGUGUGUCAAUAUUGUUCCUUUUCAGACCACUGCCCUACUUUUUCAGUAAUCCUUCAUUAUCCCAUCCAAUUUGUCCUCGUAAUGUACCAUCAUGCCCUGCCAAAAUGUUAUUCAAUGAGAUUCCAGGAGCUGUAAAUGUCAUAAUGUCAUUAAAACCCAUAAUGACUCACA